UAACCCACUGUACCACAGCGGGAACUCUCUUUCUCUCUCUCUUUGUCUUUCAGGGCCGUACCCACAGCGUAUGGAGGUUCCCAGGCUAGGUCCACUAUUGCAGAGCAGCCCAGUUGCCUCCGUGCUCUGCCAUUUCCUCCUGUCCCCAGGCCUGAGAGACGGCCCCUGGGCAGGGGCUCUUGAGGAGCCUGCAGCAGGAAUACAAACUCGGACAAUGCCUUUCUUGCCCUUGGCCUAUGAAUUUAAGAAAACCCCCAAAGAUUCCUCUGAUACGCAACGCCUACCCUAGUCCACACCCUUGAGGCUGACCUGGCCCUCAGCCCGCCUGCCUGGAGCAGCUGGUGCAGGAUUGCAACACCAAAGCCCUCUCUCCCUUGUUCUGGCUUUAGCGGCUGCCGCUGAGUCACUAUUGCAGAGGUAGCUGCUGACCACCCAGGCAGGAGAGCAGCCCAGUUGCCCCCGUGUCCUGCCAUUUCCUCCUGUCCCCAGGCCUGAGAGAGGGCCCCUGGGCUGCGGGGUCAAGGGCAGGCUCGGGGAGGGAGAAACUACGUUUCCCCUGUUAAGUCUGCCGGGCAGAAUGCCCCUUGCCCUUCUCACCCCCGACUCCUCCCCAGUGGUCGCCAAGAGAUGGGGUUCAGCCAGAGAGACUGUGGGAGGGGCACUCAUCCCCGUGGUGAGGGUGUCGUGGAGCCUGAGCCCCAGGUCUUCUGUCCCGUAACCUAGCUAUCCAAGGGGGCGUCAUGAGCCACAGGCACUUCCAGCUUCUUAGCAAAGGCACUGCUCUUCCUCUUUUGCCACUGGACCAGUGAUGCCUGGGGCACUGAGCAUCCUCUCCAGGCGUGAAGACUGACCCUUGCUUCUCUGCAUCCCACCCCAGGAGCUAGCACAGAAUCCUUGUUGACAGCAGGGGUUAUUUGUAAAUUCACUCUUUAUCCACCAUUGUGUGCUAAGGGCCCAGACAGUGGCCGGCACAUAGUCGAUGCUCAGUAUGUAAUUAUUGUCUGAACAGAAGGAGACGGACUCUGAAUUUGAAUCCCCAUGGGAGACACUGCAGGACUUCUCUGUGCUUUACAUGCUUCGUUCUGUAAAAUGAGGACAGCAACAGAACCUACUUUACGGGAUUAAUAUGUCUAAAGUCCUAAGACAGGGUCCUGCACAUGCUAGGCACCCAACAAAUAUUUGCUGUCAUCUCCAAUCUCUCACCUUAUUUCCAGUCUCUUCUUCUCCCUGAAAGGCUUUCUUUUUUCUUUUACUUUUUAGGGCCAAACCUGCAGUAUAUGGACGUUCCCAUGCUAGGGGUCAGAUCAGAGCUCAACUGCUGGCCUUUGCCACAGCCACAGCCACAUCCACGCCCAAUCUGAGCCGUGUCUUCGACCUGCACCACUGCUCAUGGCAACAUCAGAUCCUUAACCCUCUGAGUUAGUCGGGUUCAUUACCACUGAGGCACAACGGAAGCUCCUGAAAGGCUCCCUUUACACUCCUCUGAGCCCCUGUUGGAGUUACGGCAGACAGCAG
ensembl:lncRNA